rnacentral:rRNA from 1 species
UACGGAGGAUGCAAGCGUUAUCCGGAAUUAUUGGGCGUAAAGCGUCCGCAGGUGGCUCAUCAAGUCUGCUGUCAAAGGCAGGGGCUUAACCCCUGAAAGGCAGUGGAAACUGGGGAGCUAGAGUGCAGUAGGGGUAGAGGGAAUUCCCGGUGUAGCGGUGAAAUGCGUAGAGAUCGGGAAGAACAUCGGUGGCGAAAGCGCUCUGCUGGACUGCAACUGACACUAAAGGACGAAAGCUAGGGGGGCGAAUGGG